GACAGAGGGUGCAAACGUUGUUCGGAAUUACUGGGCGUAAAGCGCGUGUAGGCGGCCAUGCAAGUCGGAUGUGAAAGCCCUCGGCUCAACCGGGGAAGUGCACUCGAAACUGCAAGGCUAGAGUCUCGGAGAGGAUCGUGGAAUUCUCGGUGUAGAGGUGAAAUUCGUAGAUAUUCGGAAGAACACCAGUGGCGAAGGCGGCUCACUGGACGACUGUUGACGCUGAGGUGCGAAAGCGUGGGGAGCAACAGG
rnacentral:rRNA from 1 species